GCAGCAUGUAGUUCCACGUCUCAUUCCACUGAUUUGUGCCCCUGUGAGGCUGAUCCCUCCUCUCCCCACCACACCUUUAGCGCCAACACAAGGCAAGAAAGCGGGCAGAGGGACAAACUGGGCAGACCCAUUGUGUUUCUGGGCAAGGUGCAGGUGUGCAACAAUUUAAAUGCUGGUGCCUGCACAUCUGCUCCAUUUGCUUCAGAGCUCACACUAAG